AUGUUGUUUUCAUGAUGAUGAAGUUAGUUUCUGCAAUGAUAGAAUCUGUUUAUAGUUGUAUUUAACUGACUGUCAUAAAUUUAUUUAAUGUACAUGGCAAUUUUUUUUAUAUGAAAUAAGCACAAGUUUGGAAAAAGUCUUGGAAUUCGGCCUCAUUUCAGGGUUAAUUAAAGAAGAUGUCUGGGAAUUUGGUACCAUUUUCAGAUAUUCUCAAAGAAAUCAUGGAAAAGCAAGAGUAAUUUGAGUAUGUGAUAAAAAAAGUGAAAUUUGAAUUAUGAAAUUGGUAGAAAAAAGAACGUUGUCAAUAAAGAGGGAGUUUGAUGUUAGAAUUAAAUAUUUUGUAGCAGAAAGCAGGGAGUGAUGAGUUAAGAUUUGAUUGAAAGUCAGUGAUUGUUAUCAAAAAGGUUUGCACAGAAAAAUGAUGGAAAACAUUUUUUUUCUGCAGAAUUCGUGGAAUUUGAAAACUGCUGAUUUUGUUAUGGAGAAGUUGAGGAAAUUUUUCAUUGUAGCCUUAAAUUUCAAAGUGCAUCCUUGAAAAUUAGAAAGGAUGGUGAACGUAAUAAAUAAACUGUAGUUAUGAUGUGAUUAUUUUCUUAAAAAAGAUUUGUUCAAAUGCUGGUAAUGCAAUUUUAAAUGCAUUUCAAAGGCGGAUGUAUAAAAUCUUUUGGCAAGGAUAACUUUCAAAAGCCAUUAUUUGAACACCACACCAUUUGCAGCUGUUCCUGUUAUCAAAAGCAUUUGUUUAUUCAUUUUUGACUUUUACUCAGGGUGUAAAAUGUUACUAAAUCAGGAAAAGGACACAAAUAAUACAUGGAAAAGUUAUGAAAUUUUAUCAACAGAAGUCUGUGCAAAUCAUAGUACUGUUAUUGUUGCCAGGUACAUUGUUGUGUUACAAAAUGUGUGAUAAGAACGGCUGCCAGUUAUUUAUUUUUGUAUAGUCUUGUUAUUAUUUUGAUUCUUAAAUGUUAUUGAACAUAUUCUGUUUUUGAAUUGGGUUGUUCAUUGUUUGAAAAUGCAUGUACAUUGUAUAUUUUGUUAAAAUCAUGGAACUGUAAUUAUAUGCUAUUGAUUGUGGAUGUUCAACACUGGUUCUAUAUGAUUUAGUUUUUAUUUGGUAUUGUAUUUGAUUGAUAGUUUUCUUACAUUUUUUGUCAAAGUUAUUUACUAUGUCAACGCAUAAUUAUAACUGUAUUAGUCAGAAAGAAGAGGUGUUUUUUUGUUUUUUGUUUUUUUAUUUUACAACAUUGCAAACACUUAAUAGAAUCAUUGAUACUCUUAUGUGGUUUUUGGUAUAGAAGUCAAAGUGCAAUUGUUUCCAGUGAAAUAGUGCUCCAUUUGUGAUGAGCUGAUCAGUCAGGAUGUGGAUAAAUUAUAAGUAUGUUGUUUAUAUCUCAUUUUUAGCUCACCUGUCACAUAGUGACAAGGUGAGCUUUUGUGAUCACGCAGCGUCCUUCGUCCGUGCGUCCGUGCGUCCGUGCGUCCGUCCGUAAACUUUUGUUUGUGACCACUCUAGAGGGCACAUUUUUUGUGGGAUCUUUAUGAAAGUUGGUCAGAAUGUUCAUCUUGAUGAUAUCUAGGUCAGGUUCGAAACUGGGUCACGUGCCUUCAAAAACUAGGUCAAUAGGUCUAAAAAUAGAAAAACCUUGUGACCUCUCUAGAGGUCAUAUAUUUCACAAGAUCUUCAUGAAAAUUGGUCAGAAUGUUCACCUUGAUGAUAUCUAGGUCAAGUUCGAAACUGGGUCACGUGCCAUCAAAAACUAGGUCAGUAGGUCUAAAAAUAGAAAAACCUUGUGACCUCUCUAGAGGCCAUAUAUUUCACAAGAUCUUCAUGAAAAUUGGUCAGAAUGUUCAGCUUGAUGAUAUCUAGGUCAAGUUCGAAACUGGGUCACUUGCCCUCAAAAACUAGGUCAGUAGGUCAAAUAAUAGAAAAACAUUGUGACCUCUCUAAAGGCCAUAUUUUUCAUGGGAUCUGUAUGAAAGUUGGUCUGAAUGUUCAUCUUGAUGAUAUCUAGAUCAAGUUUGAAACUGGGUCACGUGCGGUCAAAAACUAGGUCAGUAGGUCUAAAAAUAGAAAAACCUUGAGACCUCUCUAGAGGCCAUAUAUUUCAUGAGAUCUUCAUGAAAAUUGGUCAGAAUGUUCACCUUGAUGAUAUCUAGGACAAGUUCGAAAGUGGGUCACAUGCCAUCAAAAACUAGGUCAUUAGGUCAAAUAAUAGAAAAACCUUGUGACCUCUCUAGAGGCCAUAUUUUUCAUGGGAUCUGUAUGAAUGUUGAUCUGAAUGUUCAUCUUGAUGAUAUCUAGGUUAGAUUCGAAAAUUAAUCACGUGCCCUCAAAAACUAGGUCAGUAGGUCAAAUAAUAGAAAAACCUUGUGACCUCUCUAAAGGCCAUAUUUUUCAUGGGAUCUGUAUGAAAAUUGGUCUGAACGUUCAUCUUGAUGAUAUCUAGUUCAAGUUCGAAACAGGGUCAUGUGCGGUCAAAAACUAGGUCAGUAGGUCUAAAAAUAGAAAAACCUUGUGACCUCUUUAGAGGCCAUACUUGUGAAUGGAUCUCCAUAAUAAUUGGUCAGAAUGUUCAUCUUGAUCAUAUCCAGGUCAAGUUCGAAAGUGGGUCACAUGCCAGCAAAAAAUAGGUCAGUUGAUCAAAUAAUGAAAAAACGUUGUGUCCUCUCUAGAGGCCAUACUUUUCAUGGGAUCUAUAUGAAAGUUGGUCUGAAUGUUUAUCUUGAUGAUAUAUAGGUCAAGUUUGAAACUGGGUCAACUGCGAUCAAAAACUAGGUCAGUAGGUCUUGAAAUAGAAAAGCCUUGUGACCUCUCUAGAGGCCAUACCCUUGAAUGGAUCUUCAUGAAAAUUGGUCAGACUGUUCUCCUUGAUGAUAUCUAGGUCAAGUUUGAAACUGGGUCACGUGCCAUAAAAAACUAGGUCAGUAGGUCAAAUAAUAAAAAAACCUUGUGACCUCUCUAGAGGCCAUACUUUUCAUGGGAUCUGUAUGAAAGUUGGUCUGAAUGUUCAUCUUGAUGAUAUCUAGGUCAAGUUUGAAACUGGGUCAACUGCGGUCAAAAACUAGGUCAGUAGGUCUAAAAUUAUUAAAAUCUUUUGACCUCUCUAGAGGCCAUAUCUUUCAAUGGAUCUUCAUGAAAAUUGAUCUGAAUGUUCACCUUGAUGAUAUCUAGGUCAGUUUCGAAACUGGGUCACGUGUGGUCAAAAACUAGGCCAGUAGGUAUAAAAAUAGAAAAACCUUGUGACCUCUCAAGAGGCCAUAUUUUUCACGAGAUCUUCAUGAAAAUUAGUGAGAAUGUUCACCUUGAUGAUAUCUAGGUAAAGUUCAAAACAGGGUCACGUUCCUUAGAAAACUAGGUCAGUAGGUCAAAUAAUAGAAAAACCUUGUGACCUCUCUAGAGACCAUAUUUUUCAAUGGAUCUUCAUGAAAAUUGGUCAGAAUUUUUAUCUUGAUAAUAUCUAGGUCAAGUUCAAAACUGGGUCACAUGAGCUCAAAAACUUGGUCACUGUGUCAAAUAAUAGAAAACAAAACGACGUCAUACUCAAAACUGGGUCAUGUGGGAAGAGGUGAGCGAUUCAGGACCAUCAUGGUCCUCUUGUUCUAAGGAAAUUUUUGCUGUUGUAUGAAUUUUGACAUAAAAGGGACCUUGUUUUAUAUAGGAAAUUUUGGCUGUUACUCUGGGAACACAAAGAUAGCAACAUAAUUAUAUGAACAUAGUACUUUAAUAGAUUUAAUUUUAUUCUUUCAUUCUUCAACAAAUAUAAUGUUUCAGCUAUGCAUUUGAAAAAAAGAAUGAUUUGAAAUGGCCAAACCCUGUGUUAAAGACCACCUGUGGUCACAGAGUGUCUGACUGACGAUCACUGAAUAUAUUUCCAAUUUAAACUUAAUAUUUAUGCUGCAACCUUGUAAGUUUAAAGGCUAAACUAUGUUUGUUGUUCUGUUGUUGAUUUACCAAGAAACUUACCAAAUGAGAAGUUCAGUAUUAUGUCUGUGUAGAGGUGCUUGCUCUGUAGAGGUGGGGUUAACAGAGGUUAGUCUGUAAAAUAUGUCUUGUUACAAAUGUGAGCCGCGCCAUGGAAAAAACCAACUUAGUCGCUUUGCGACCAGCAUGGAUCCAGACCAGCCUGUGCAUUUGCGCAGUCUGGUCAGGAUCCAUGCUGUUCGCUAACAGUUUCUCUAAUAGCAAUUGGUUAUGAAAGCGAACAGCAUGGAUCCUGACCAGACUGCGCGGAUGCGCAGGCUGGUCUGGAUCCAUGCUGGUCGCAAAGCCACAAUGUUGGUUUUCUCAUGGCGCGGCUCAUAUGAUUGUUUCUAGUAUUCCCAUCUAAUUUCUCUUGUCAGCUUAUUUAUGUCCAGGUUUUGUUCAUUUUACCUAUAAGCAUCAACAAAUUUAGUAUAAAUACAUUUGUUUUCCAUUUGCCAAUUACUGUACUCUAGCAAAUAUAGUAUCCACUAAUUAUCUUUAUAUCCAUUAUUGUCUUCAAACUUACUGUCAGAGUUAAUAUCCCAUGUACAUACAUUAAAACUCGGUUAUAAGAUGAACUGUAUAACGAACAUCAGACAUAAAGCAAACAGGUCUGAGAAAACUGUGAUUUGAAUUGUUGUUGAUGUGUUUAAUUGCUGUUUUAUCAAAAUAAAGUUGUACUUACAUUUUUAUUAUCAUUAAUAAAUGAUUUCAUAUUGAUUUGUCAUUGAUUUAAUUCUUAUUUGUAUGCCAAUUUAAUUUUUCAAUACUGGUAAUAGCAGAAAUUAUAGAAUUCAUAUUUUGUUCGGUCGAUUCUUUACCUCCAUGGGAAGAGUAUAUCCACUGUCAAGGGAACUUGCUGCUUUGAUAAAUUUAGAAUUCCUAUUCAUAUGAUUAUUUUUUGUCAUAAAAACAUGUAACUAAUUACAACAGUGUCAUAUAAUAAUAAUAAUGAUAACAAUGUACUUUCAUAUUACAUUAUCUUUAUCAUACUUUAUUUUAAAAUGGAAAUAUAUUGCGUUGUUAGGUACUCUAUCGCACAAUGGCAAUGAGAGCAUAUUUUGCUUGCAUGUUACAGAUAAAGGUGUUAAAAUAAAAGAUUGUAAUUACUCAAAAUGAACAUGAAUUGAGCAUAAAAUAAAAUUGGUUACACAUUUAGUGACAAAUUUAUUAAGUUGCAUAUUUUAGUGUGUUACCAGAUGACAGCAAAACUUGAAAUUACAGACUAAGCGUGUUAUAAACGAGUGAAAUGUCAUGUUUGGACAUAGAAAUUUGUUCAAGUUAACUGGGUUUGUUAUAUCCAUGUGUUUUACAUGUAAAAUAUAGGGGGAAAAUUGAACCAGAUAAAUGAGUACCUAUAAGUUAUAACAGAUUUCCUUAUAACCGAGUUCCUUAUAAGCGAGUUUUACCAUAUAAGGAUCCUUUGUUCUGUUACCAGAUUUUAAUGUCACGUCUUGUGUAUUAAUUUCUGAAUAUUAGUAAAAGAAUUUAAAGCCAAAUAUAUAUUCAUCUAUCAAGGACAAGUGCUGGCUCAAAUCUUUACCAACAAAAGCCAUAUGAAAUCCUAGAUAAAAAAUUGCUACUUCAGCUUUCCACAAAUGUAAAAAGUGCCAUCACUAGGUGUCUUACACUCAGAAAAUCCCUUUUAAAAGCAGUUUCCUGGUAAAAAUUUUCCCCUGUGCCCAAAUACCCAAGUUAUUUUUCUGUUAGAUAAGGAGCUAUCAGCCGCCCCUCUUUGUUGAAGAAACACCUGACAACACAAGGCCUUUUCCAAAGACGAAAUGAAAGCCAGAACAAUAGCCUACCUGAAACUGUUAAAAUAUCACAAAGGCAUCUUGAGUAUAUUUUUAUGACCCCUGGGCAUAUAGCAGUUGAACUUUCUGUCUGUCUAUCCGUUCAUUCAAACCAGAUUUUACUGUUGCGCCUACAGCGCACAUUUAUGACAGAUUUAGUUCAUACUAGCUAAAUAAACCUUGUGGCUAGACCUGCUACUGACCUAUAGAUAGAUGACCUUGACCUUUAUAUGACAUUCAUCUGUAAACUUAAAACCUAAAAAACAACAUCUUUGGUCAUACAUCUAAGAGGCAUGUUUUUGCGUUUUGAAAAUGCAGCUCCUUGUUCAUAAGUUUUGUAUUAUGUAAACAAUAUUUAUUAUAAGGUGAUGGCUUUAAGGUCUAUAAUAUGCAAUUUUGUGAUUUGGACAGAUUGACCAGGGGUAUUUUUAUGAACCGAAGCAGACCUAUAAGCUGCAUAUAGACUUAUGCAUUAGGUAGUAUAUUUUUUAUUAGCUCACCUGUCACAAAGUGACAAGGUGAGCUUUUGUGAUCGCGCGGUGUCCGUCGUCUGUCUGUGCGUCCGUCCGUGCGUGCGUCCGUAAACUUUUGCUUGUGACCACUCUAGAGGUCACAUUUUUCAUGGGAUCUUUAUGAAAGUUGGUCAGAAUGUUCACCUUGAUGAUAUCUAGGUCAAGUUUGAAACUGGGUCAUGUGCCGUCAAAAACUAGGUCAGUAGGUCUAAAAAUAGAAAAACCUUGUUACCUCUCUAGAGGCCAUAAUUUUCACUGGAUCUUCAUGAAAAUUGGUCAGAAUGUUCACCUUGAUGAUAUCUAGGUCAAGUUCGAAACUCGGUCACGUGCGGUCAAAAUCUAGGUCAGUAGGUCUAAAAAUAGAAAAACCUUGUGACCUCUCUAGAGGCCAUAUAUUUCAAAAGAUCUUCAUGAAAGUUGGUCAGAACGUUCACCUUGAUGAUAUCUAGGUCAAGUUCGAAACUGGGUCACGUGCCUUCAAAAACUAGGUCAGGUCAAAUAAUAGAAAAACCUUGUGACCUCUCUAAAGGCCAUAUUUUUCAUGGGAUCUGUGUGAAAGUUGGUCUGAAUGUUCAUCUUGAUGAUAUCUAGGUCAAGUUCGAAACUGGGUCACGUGCGAUCAAAAACUAGGUCAGUAGGUCUAAAAAUAGAAAAACCUUGUGACCUCUCUAGAGGCCAUAUAUUUCAUGAAAUCUUCAUGAAAAUUUGUCAGAAUGUUCACCUUGAUGAUAUCUAAGUCAAGUUCGAAAGUGGGUCACAUGCCAUCAAAAACUAGGUCAGUAGGUCAAAUAAUAGAAAAACCUUGUGACCUAACUAGAGGCCAUAUUUUCCAUGGGAUCUGUAUGAAAGUUGGUCUGAAUGUUCAUCUUGAUAAUAUCUAGGUCAAGUUUGAAACUGGGUCACGUGCCAUCAAAAACUAGGUCAGUAGGUCAAAUAAUAGAAAAACCUUGUGACCUCUCUUAAGGCCAUAUUUUUCAAUGGAUCUUCAUGAAAGUUGGUCUGAAUGUUCAUCUUGAUGAUAUCUAGGUCAAAUUUGAAACAGGAUCAUGUGCGGUCAAAAACUAGGUCAGUAGGUCUAAAAAUAGAAAACCCUUGUGACCUCUCUAGAGGCCAUACUUGUGAAUGGAUCUCCAUAAAAAUUGGUCAGAAUGUUCACCUUGAUGAUAUCUAAGUCAAAUUCGAAAGUUGGUCACGUGCCAUCAAAAAGUAGGUCAGUAGGUCAAAUAAUGAAAAAACGCUGUGACCUCUCUAGAGGCCAUAUUUUUCAUGGGAUCUGUAUGAAAGUUGGUCUGAAUGUUUAUCUUGAUGAUAUCUAGGUCAAGUUUGAAACUGGGUCAACUGCGAUCAAAAACUAGGUCAGUAGGUCUUGAAAUAGAAAAACCUUGUGACCUCUCUAGAGGCCAUACCCUUGAAUGGAUCUUCAUGAAAAUUGGUCAGAAUGUUCACCUUGAUGAUAUCUAGGUCAAGUUUGAAACUGGGUCACGUGCCUUAAAAAACUAGGUUAAUAGGUCAAAUAAUAGAAAAACCUUGUGACCUCUCUAGAGACCAUAUUUUUCAAUGGAUCUUCAUGAAAAUUGGUCAGAAUUUUUAUCUUUAUAAUAUCUAGGUCAAGUUCAAAACUGGGUCACAUGAGCUCAAAAACUAGUUUACUAUGUCAAAUAAUAGAAAAAACGACGUCAUACUCAAAACUGGAUCAUGUGGGAAGAGGUGAGCGAUUCAGGACCAUCAUGGUCCUCUUGUUUAUUAAAUGACUCCUUACUUAAAUUGCGGGUCUGUUGUUUAUUUUCGUAGAUUUUCCUUCAGGUUUUGGUUUUAGCCCAGCAAACAUGACUUGAAUAGCAACCUCACUUUUUGCCAUCUAAAUGAUCUGCUUAAUUGAUUCACUGGUACUGUGUAAAAUGGCAUAAUAUACAAAUUAAGUGGAACAAGCAUUUGAAAAAGUCUGAUUUUGAUUGGAUAUUUAGACUAGAUAAACUGUAAAUGAAUAUUAUGAAAACAAGUUCAAUAAGCAGAUGUAGACACUGUUUACAUCCAACCAUAUCUGUUUAUACAAGGUUAAUUAGUUAUAUCAGAGGAAAAUACAAUGGAUUUAAUGCUUCUUUCUGUAAUUAUUUUUCAUUUCUUUGAAUCAAAUGAUUUAUUUUUUUUGAUUUCUGUAAAUGGAAUAAAGCUGUUAGAAAUUUA